UAGUCUCUUUCCUUCGGCGACAAAAGUCAAACUUAACAGGCCCAAAACCCCCGUCCCUAAUUUGAUCACUAAACGACACCGUCUUUUUUUUCCUUCUCUCUCGCGCCCCGGCUUUGGGUUUAACCUCUCGUGUUGUCUACAGUCUCUACCGUCGGCUCCGUAUUUAAGGCUGCUUUGUGAGCUUUGUUCCCCCAUUGUAAAUCCUCCUUUUAAUGGCAUAAUUCUUAACCAUAUCUCUCCAGUCUCCACAGAACACAACAAUAUGACUCUCUAGAUAAAGAAGGGGAAAAAAGUUAAGAUUUUUAAACGCAAAAGAGAAUUUCCGAUCUUUAUUGUAUUUAUUCUGUAUAUAGAAUCAGACUGGGCUUCGAGUUUUAUGGGAAAAUUGCUUGCUGCUACGAACGGGAUUCACAGUAUCGCGAAGCAUCUAAAACCCUCAAAACACGCUAAACCCACAUCGCGAGUUCAGCACCCAGGACGCGAGGACGAGUCGAAGAAGAUGGAAGGCAGCACUGAUGUGGACAACAUCAACAGCAGUAAUAAUAGCAACAGCAGUACACGCCUACCGCUGUCAGAUGUUGUAUCGGAUUGUGUGAAGAGGUGGUUCAAAGACACCCUUAGAGAAGCCAAGGCUGGUGAUAUCAAUAUGCAGGUGUUGGUCGGUCAAAUGUAUUAUAGCGGAUAUGCAGUCCCUAGAGAUGCCCAAAAGGGAAGAAUUUGGAUGACAAGGGCAUCAAGGACUAGGACUUCAGUUUGGAAAGUCAGCGAUAAGCAUCCAGGUUAUAAUGCAAGUGAUUCAGACUCAGAUGAAUUGAGGGGUGAUUCUUAAAUUACCAAAUUGGUUUCAAGACCAAAACAAUUGAAAUGUGAGGUGGCAUUCAUCUUUUUUCUUGGACUUUUUAAUUACUUAAUUUGCAUUAUUUUUGGAGUUUCUGUUGGUCAAUCAUUUAUUCGUAGCAACAGAUUUUUAAGCUCGUGACAUAUCUUAGGUGUUAUUCAUGCUGUCAUUUGUGGGGUAUUUUUUCUCAGCAUUCGUCACUAAUCACAAAUCCAUUGCUAGCCAUGCUCAAUAAAUGUCUGUUGAUUUUUUUUUUAGGCCAGCAUGUACUCAGAAUUAUCCAUUUCCUUAGGUACACAUGUGGAGGUUUACCUGCUUUUUAAAUGCUUGCUUUGAUCUCAAGUUCUAACGCUGAAGAGGAAGUGUUGAAACUGAUGGCCAUUCUUUACCAAGGCCUUCAUAAAGUGACAUGAAAAUUGAUGUGGGCUGUCAGGUAUAUCUAGGAUAUUUGUAUCCUUCUACAAUUUCAAAAUCUGAAAAUGAAAUCACUUAAGAAUUGCAACUGAUUUUAAAAGGGGUUUCUUUCUUUUUUCACCUUUUAGUUUAAUCCAAUAAUGUUCUUCACUUGUCUCCGGUAGAAGAUGUUCUUAUAGUUGACAACAUGUGAUUUAAGUCAGUAAGAUUGUAGAAAAUGAGUGUCAGUCUUCCUUACUUUUAACCUGGCCACUUGCCUAUUUAGAAUUGGAUUGUGUGGGUUUCUCGAAGUGUUUACUUCAAUUGUUUCCUGUAUUUAACUUACUAUUUAAUUAGGGCGAGAGGGAUCUUGAAAGAUGUUGAACAAUUUCCAGUUUCUUAUAAGAUGCAGGCAUGCAGCUGAUUUGCUUGGAAGUGGAAGGGAUGAUCGAAUCUCGCUUGUUUCCCCUCGAUCUCUUCCCCCUUUCUUUUCCCUGCUACCAGAUUUAGUUUCUCUCGGGUGUACUUUUGUGUUGAAGCUUUUAUCAUGAGAAUAAGUUGUGACUUCACUUGCCCUUUCAAGACAAUCUAUGUGGAUUAACAUUGGAUUGUUAUAUUCUUUUAAAAGGUCGUCAUGUAUACAAGUCUCUACUUGUUUGACAAAAGUGAUCCAUGUCUAUAGAUCGGUAUUUUCUUGUGAAUG